UUCCGACUCUUCGGAAAGUAAGAUCCCUGAAAGAUGAUCAGGUAGAUAGGUUUGGAGUGGAAGUGUAGCGAUACAUGGAGCGGACAAAUACUAAUCGAUCGAGGACUUAACCAAAA
rnacentral:rRNA from 1 species